CAGUCGAGCGGACAGAUGGGAGCUUGCUCCCUGAUGUUAGCGGCGGACGGGUGAGUAACACGUGGGUAACCUGCCUGUAAGACUGGGAUAACUCCGGGAAACCGGGGCUAAUACCGGAUGGUUGUUUGAACCGCAUGGUUCAAACAUAAAAGGUGGCUUCGGCUACCACUUACAGAUGGACCCGCGGCGCAUUAGCUAGUUGGUGAGGUAACGGCUCACCAAGGCAACGAUGCGUAGCCGACCUGAGAGGGUGAUCGGCCACACUGGGACUGAGACACGGCCCAGACUCCUACGGGAGGCAGCAGUAGGGAAUCUUCCGCAAUGGACGAAAGUCUGACGGAGCAACGCCGCGUGAGUGAUGAAGGUUUUCGGAUCGUAAAGCUCUGUUGUUAGGGAAGAACAAGUACCGUUCGAAUAGGGCGGUACCUUGACGGUACCUAACCAGAAAGCCACGGCUAACUACGUGCCAGCAGCCGCGGUAAUACGUAGGUGGCAAGCGUUGUCCGGAAUUAUUGGGCGUAAAGGGCUCGCAGGCGGUUUCUUAAGUCUGAUGUGAAAGCCCCCGGCUCAACCGGGGAGGGUCAUUGGAAACUGGGGAACUUGAGUGCAGAAGAGGAGAGUGGAAUUCCACGUGUAGCGGUGAAAUGCGUAGAGAUGUGGAGGAACACCAGUGGCGAAGGCGACUC
rnacentral:rRNA from 1 species